rnacentral:lncRNA from 1 species
CUUUGAGAUGAGUUUUUAAAUUUAGUGGAGUGCCUCAUCUGAGACCUUCAGGCAAGAGUGGAGCACAGAGGAAAGGGGUGUCUUUCUCAAGAGAGAAGCAAACUGCGGGUCAAAGUGCACCACCAGCCACCAACAGCUAGCUUCCGGAUCAAGUAGGAUGGAAAUGGUUUAUUCCUCCAAAGACUCUUAAAAGAGCAGCCCCUGCUGCAGAAUAGAAAGAGGCUCCAGAGGAGCAGUGAGCUCGAGGAACCCCCCUGAAGAUCCCCAGUUUCUGUAUGCAGCUGCAUCAGGCCCAGACAAAUUCUUCCAUCUGGAGCGUGUCCCCGCAGAUCUUCCCAGCCGCGGCUGUGGUCCGCGUUAUCUCAGGCUGUCAGGUCUCAGAAAUUAGAAACCAUCUCAUUUCAUCAGGGUCAUCCCACACCGUCUGCCACCAUAGAUGGAGAGGAUUUCAAGUGAUGUUUUCUGAAGAUGGUUCUGUUGUCCCGGGAGAGCCCUUGGCGGACAUGGUAGUGCCAGUCAGAGCCCUUGACGCUGUGCAGCCAGGUGGCUUAUUGUCCCAGUGACUUUCCAACCAGAUACUCUCAGUCAGAGUGAAGGGCUCCACUUAGAAACUCCCUUUCCCAUUAACUCGUCAGAGUUAUGCCAUUCCUCUUUAUUCUUUUUAAAAUAUUUAUACUCAAAGAAAUUGUAUGGGGAGUGAGCACACACCAAUCAUAUAACUGUCAAAUGAAAGCCUUUCCUUAAAUGUUCAAGGGCGCCGGAGGAAUAAAUUUGGAGUCAUGCAGAUCUUGUUUCACGAGUGUGUACAUGUGUAUGAAACUUUAUGUGGGUGGAAAACCAACAAGAGAAAAAAGAGAGCAGAAACUGUUGUGUGAUUGCGUUUUCCUGCCCGAGACAUCCUGUGCUCUGCAUCUGAUAACCUGCCACCAGGCUCCACCACAUUGCCCAGGCUGGUCUCAAAGUCCUAGGCUCAUGCGAUCCUCCCACCUCAACCUCCCAAAGUGCUGGAACUACAGGUGUCAGCCACAGCCCCCUGUGAGGAUGCUUAAUCACUCGAGGACGGUAUAAAGGUACAGAAGAACAGCGAGCCACAGGUGGGCCUCAUCCCAUCAGCUGAAGGCCUUACAGGAACAAAGAUUGACCUCCCAGUAUAAGAAGUAAUCUGCCAGCAGGCUGCCUUUGGACUCCAACUGCAACUCUUCCCUGGGUUUCCAGCCUGCCAGCCUACCCUGCAGACUUUGGACUUGCACCUCCACAACCAUACGUUUCCAAAAUCUGGAGAGCGGCUGUGAGUUUGCAGUGCAGUAUGGGGAGAGACCAGAACCCACCGGAAGCCUCCAGGUGCUGCAGUGAGGAGGAGCUGGAACCCUUCUCCUCCAGGUGCCAGCUCGCGCUGCUGUGGUUCUCAUCUGUAGAGGACGUGGACCAUCCAGGGAAUCACCUGCAGCUGACAGAGGAAACUCUGAAGCCCACCAGGCCUGUACAGACUGGGGAAACACCAGUGCCUGAGGAUAGUGGCUAAACUGCCAGAGAACAUGGGGCUGAGGUGGAGCCUGGAUGACUCUUCUGCCUCUGAGCAAAGCUGCUUGCCCUACACACAACAGUAUUGUCUUAACAUCUGCUGAGUUCCCAGGUCCUCUUAGCAGCAGGCAGAGGCAUUCAGAGCCCAGACCCCAAAGACAUGCUGAUCUGGUUUAAACCUGACUGUGCUACUCAUCAACUGGGGGACCUAGGCAGGUUACAUUGUCUUUUUGUGCCUCAGUUUCCUCAUCUAUAGAAUAGAGGUAUUCUAGUUUCCUGUGAUUUCUGUAAUAAAUUUACAAACUUUGUAACAAAUUACCACAAAUUUGGUGGCUUCAAACGAUAGAAAUUUAUUCUCUCACAAACCUGGAGACCAAAAGUCUAAAGUCUCUAUCAUUGGACUGAAAUAAAAGUGCAGGUGGGGCCAGACACAGUGGCUCACACUUGUAAUCCCAGCACUUCGGGAGGCCAAGGCGGGCGGAUCAUGAGGUUAGGAGUUUGAGACAAGCCUGGCCAAUAUGGUGAAACCCCGUCUCUACUAAAAAUACAAAAUUAGCCAGGCGUGGUGGUGCAUGCCUGUAAUCCCAGCUACUUGGGAGGCUGAGGCAGGUGUAUCUCUUGAAACCAGGAGGCGGAGGUUGCGGUGAGCCAAAAUCAUGCCAUUGCAC